rnacentral:rRNA from 1 species
GGGCUUACACAAGCGGUGGAGCAUGUGGUUUAAUUCGAUACAACGCGCAAAACCUUACCAAUUUUUGACAUAGGAAAAGUAUUUUUGUUAUUAAAAAUCUCUUUUUUCUACAGGUGCUGCAUGGCUGUCGUCAGUUCGUGGCGUGAGCUGUUGGGGUUAAGUCCUAGAACGAACGCAACCCUCAGGUUCUUUGCUUUGAAUCAUUGAACCAACUGCCGUCUGAGAUAAGGAGGAAGGGGGGGACAACGUCAAGUCCGCAUGGCCCCUCAUGAAUUGGGCUACACACGUGCUACAAUGAUGAUGCCAAAAAGGAUGCAAGUUGGUAACACGG